rnacentral:sRNA from 1 species
GUCGUGAGAUGUUGGGUUAAGUCCCGCAACGAGCGCAACCCUUGUCAUUAGUUGCUACAUUCAGUUGGGCACUCUAAUGAGACUGCCGGUGACAAACCGGAGGAAGGUGGGGAUGACGUCAAGUCCUCAUGGCCCUUAUGGGUAGGGCUUCACACGUAAUACAAUGGCGCGUACAGAGGGUUGCCAAGGGGUGACCUGGAGCCAAUCCCACUAAAGCGCGUCGUAGUCCGGAUUGCAGUCUGCAACUCGACUGCAUGAAGUCAGAAUCGCUAGUAAUCGCGGAUCAGCAUGUCGCGGUGAAUACGUUCCCGGGUCUUGUACACACCGCCCGUCACACCAUGGGAGUGGGUUUCACCAGAAGCCGGUCGCCUAACCGCAAGGAGGGCGCCGACCACGGUGAGAUUCAUGACUGGGGUGAAGUCGUAACAAGGUAGCCGUAUCGGAAGGUGCGGCUGGAUCACCUCCUUUCUAAGACAAGGCACCUCUCAGUGCCCACCAUCUAUCGGCUGUUCUUCGCGAAGAGCGCAUGAAGCGUUUCGGCCUUACGGGUCUGUAGCUCAGUUGGUUAGAGCACCGUCUUGAUAAGGCGGGGGUCGAUGGUUCGAAUCCAUCCAGACCCACCAACGAAAACGCGCGCUCUUUAACAAUCUGGAUGAAGGUAGUUGUCUCGAUGAAAGUCGCGUUGUGAUGACGCGAUGAGUAGGCGGGACACUGGGUUAUGUAUUGCAUCGUGUCUCCAUGACCAACCAUCGUGGAGGCGCACAAGCGCGAGAGUUAUCCUGUAAUCGAGUGCGCGAGUGACUUUGACUCGCGUGGCCCUGGCUGGAUGGGGGCGGCAAGGUUAUAGGGUCAAGCGAAUAAGUGCAUGUGGUGGAUGCCUUGGCAAUGAUAGGCGAUGAAGGACGUGACAGCCUGCGAUAAGCAGCGGGGAGCCGGCAAAUGGGCUUUGAUCCGCUGAUUU